rnacentral:rRNA from 1 species
GACGAACGCUGGCGGCGUGCUUAACACAUGCAAGUCGAACGAUGAAGCGGGUGCUUGCACUCGUGGAUUAGUGGCGAACGGGCGAGUAACACGUGAGUAACCUGUCCUUUUCUUUGGGAUAACGGCUGGGAACGGCUGCUAAUACUGGAUAUUCAGGCUGCAUCGCAUGGUGUGGUUUGGAAAGGUUUUUUCUGGGAUUGGGUGGGCUCGCGGCCUAUCAGCUUGUUGGUGGGGUGAUGGCUUACCAAGGCUUUGACGGGUAGCCGGCCUGAGAGGGUGGUCGGUCGCACUGGGACUGAGAUACGGCCCAGACUCCUACGGGAGGCAGCAGUGGGGAAUAUUGCACAAUGGACGAAAGUUUGAUGCAGCGACGCCGCGUGGAGGGUGUAGGCCUUCGGGUUGUGAACUCCUUUGUCUCGCGAAAAAGGCACAGUUUUGGCUGUGUUGAUGGUAGUGGGGGAAGAAGCGCCGGCUAACUACGUG